rnacentral:lncRNA from 1 species
GGGUGAGAACCAACUCCAUGGUUCCCAGUGGGUACGGCCACCCAAGGGAAAAGCUCGACCAAUAGGUCCGAGGAGGCACUGUAACAUGUUAGUUCAACAAUAUACAACAGAUAUAUAUUCAAAUUGAAAUACAUGCCAUGCCUCACGAUAUGCGAUAUGAAAAUCAUGCAACUCUAUGCAACAACUAGUAGAUCAAUUGAUUCUACACUUUACUUGGCUACUCUUAGCUCAUAUCAUUCACUCUAAGGUUUCUAUUACCUUAGCCCAUGUCUCUAUCUCUAGCUCAUAACGGUUCCACUACCAUAUCGAAGCUAACUACCCGACUCGGCUUUGAGUCAAUCAUCCGCGGAUAUUCCGCGCACUGGCUGCUCAACAGCCUACUGCUCUGCGUGACUUAGCCUCUUAGCGGCGAAAUCGUCGCACACGCUGAACCCGGCUCAAGUCCCUUGACAUAGCCAUUCUGGCGGCGAACACGUUGCACUUACCCAGCGAGGACUCAAGUCAUGACCUAUCCAUCUGGCGGCGAACUAAUCGCACCUCACCCAACAAUGGUUUCAGUCACGACUCAGCCACCUGGCGGCACCCGUAUCGUACUUACCCAGUAAUGGUUCCAGUCAAUCCUAGCGGUCUGAUCCACAAUCGGCUUAACCAUCCGGCGGCGAAUCGUCGCACACGCCACGUCAAUGGUCCAUGCCCCGGGCGAUGAUCUCUAUGUGAUCGCCCCCAAUCCUCCCUCGGUAUCAACCUCGGCGGCGAAGUCGUCGCACACGCCCUAGCCUUGAUACCAGGGUCAUCACAAGUCCUGGGAUUCCGGAAUCCACUUUCCGCAGGUCGAGGGUCCAUAACCAACCCUAUGCUGUCGACCUAGAACAUCCUAGUGGCUAAUACCACUAUACUCAACAACC